rnacentral:tRNA from 1 species
UGGCUUAGUGGUUAAGCGCUUGCUUUCGAAACAAGGGUUCUGGGUUCGAAUCUCGG